ACUGUCAAUGAUGCUUUUUUUUUACCUACAUUGCUUGAGUAACUACUAUGAUAACUCAACAUUAAUCUGAGACAGU
ensembl:snoRNA SNORD34 Small nucleolar RNA SNORD34